AACGAACGCUGGCGGCAUGCCUAACACAUGCAAGUCGAACGAGACCUUCGGGUCUAGUGGCGCACGGGUGCGUAACGCGUGGGAACCUGCCCUUAGGUUCGGAAUAACUCCCCGAAAGGGGUGCUAAUACCGGAUAAUGUCUUCCGACCAAAGAUUUAUCGCCUUUGGAUGGGCCCGCGUUGGAUUAGCUAGUUGGUAGGGUAAAAGCCUACCAAGGCGACGAUCCAUAGCUGGUCUGAGAGGAUGAUCAGCCACACUGGGACUGAGACACGGCCCAGAAUACUACGGGAGGCAGCAGUGGGGAAUAUAGGACAAUGGGCGAAAGCAUGAACCAGCAAUGCCGCGUGAGUGAUGAAGGCCUUAGGGUUGUAAAGCUCUUUUACCCGGGAUGAUAAUGACAGUACCGGGAGAAUAAGCUCCGGCUAACUCCGUG
rnacentral:rRNA from 1 species